rnacentral:lncRNA from 1 species
AUGAGGCCUCCGUUCACUGAAGGCCCCAGGCAGGAGGCGGCCACACCCGGGUUUUUGGAGGGGCGGGGAAGGGCGCGUUUGGGGAGGGCACUGGGAAUGGGCUGGGCUGACGCCCCUCUGUGCCCAGCCCGGUCCUCUAUGGCGACUUCGCCGCGGGGCAGUGCGGGGAGGCACCCCGUGUACAGCUCGUGGGGGCUUCCGCUGACAGGCUGGCAGGGACCGGGAGAAGGGCGGCGGCGGAGCAGGCAGCGGGCUGGUGUGGGGCCUGGGGCACGGCAGAGCCUGCGCUGCGGCGGCGGCGGCGGCGGCGGCGGCAGCGCGACAGGUUGCCAUGGCCCGGCUGCCGCAGCUGCCCUCCUUAGGGUCUCGUUAGCUCUGUUCGGUCAGCCACCGCCGACUUGGCCCCAGGGACUCCGGCGACCUAGCAAACAGCCGCCGCGCGCUGACGAGGCCCGGGGGAAGAGGGGGGGCAGACCGGAUGGCGCAAGAGAGUGCCAGGCCGCGGGGACUUGCCGCAGAGACCGAGGACGCCCCAGCCAGAUGUGCAGGCCAACCUCAAGGUGUGGGUUGCUUGGAUUACAAAGGAACUUGAAUUCUUUCAUGUUUUUGUUUAAAGUAUCAUUAACAUCAUCUGAAGCCAAGAUUGGCUGCUUUUGAGGACCUCUUCUGAACCCUGUACUAGGAUGAUAACUCUGAAAGAGACUGUUCUUAGGAAAGUCUGGUUUUGGGACCUUGCUAGCCAUUUUGGAAUUAGGGAAUGAGGUGUAUUCGUAUGAGCAGCAGCACUUUUGUGGCUGUCAGGCAGAGAUUGUCCUUUCUUUUUUCCUUUAUAAGUCACCCAGCCCAAAUUGUUAGCAGGCAGAUAUUUUUAUAGGGGGAGUGGGAGGCAGUUCCCAAGUCCCCUGUCCCUCUCUGCACCUAGUCUACCCUCUAAGAUUGCAACCAUCAUUGUAUCUUCUUAUACAUUACAAUGCAGUAAACUUGGGCACAUUGAGCGCCAAUCAUGGCCGCUGUGUUCCUGAAGGUACGGAGGUGGCACUGGGGCCAGGUUGCUGUCUGGAAAAUGUCAGCCACUUUGGUGGAACUGCCCUUCCAACACCACCUCCCCCGCUGCCCCCCCACAAAAAAAACCAAGACAAAUAGAGCAAACAAAACCACUUCUCCACGUAGACAGACUUGCAGGUCUGCUCGUGGUGACCCUCUCUUUAGCCUACAUUGUUUC